rnacentral:lncRNA from 1 species
AGCAAGUCUCACAAAGCACAAUGGAAUUUCUGUUUUAAUGGUCUUUUGGAGAAUCUUCUUUUGAAUAUUGUUGAUUAGAGAUUGUGACAUUUGCAGUUUUUGGGUAUCGAGAUUUAAACUCAUCUCAUUUUUUAAAGAUAAUGCCUAUGUCAGAUAAAUAGCUUUGUUGAUUAGUUAGAUUAUAAUUCUCUCCAAUCUAAAUUUUCUUCUUUCUUUACCUGCAGAUAAGUGACAUUCAAAUAGGGAAGAAAUAACUUUUGUAAAUACCUGUCCAGUGUGAUCCUUACAACCUUUUGCCACUGCCCUGUCAGGAUGAGCAAGGAAAAAUACCUUACUAUUUAUAGAAAUUGGUCUUGAAUAUGCACUAUGAUAUUUGGAUUACAUUUUAUUUAGUAAAUUUGAAUUUUAUUAUUUAUCAAAUUUUCUAUGUUUAUGUUUUCUAAAAUUUUGAAUGUACUAUCGAGAAAGUGGUUGUUAAAAUUUUAAAGCUACCUUCUGCUCUUUAAUUUCUUCCUUGAUGAAGGAAAUUAAGAAAAGCAGCCCAUUUGGAAGUACAUAGGGAAGGAGAUGGUUCUAGUACUACAGAUAACACACAGGAAGGAGCAGUUCAGAGCCACGGUACAAGCACCACUUACAGUGUUGGCGCUGUCUUCAGAGAUCUCUGGCAUGCUGCUUUCUUUUUAUCAGGGUUUGUAUUUAUUCAAGGCUUUCUAUGGCAUAGAGCUGC